CUGCAUGGCUGUCGUCAGCUCGUGUCGUGAGAUGUUCGGUUAAGUCCGGCAACGAGCGCAACCCACGUCUUUAGUUGCCAGCAUUCAGUUGGGCACUCUAAAGAAACUGCCGAUGAUAAGUCGGAGGAAGGUGUGGAUGACGUCAAGUCCUCAUGGCCCUUACGGGUUGGGCUACACACGUGCUACAAUGGUGGUGACAGUGGGUUAAUCCCCAAAAGCCAUCUCAGUUCGGAUUGGGGUCUGCAACUCGACCCUAUGAAGUUGGAAUCGCUAGUAAUCGCGGAACAGCAUGCCGCGGUUAAUACGUU
rnacentral:rRNA from 1 species